rnacentral:rRNA from 1 species
UACAGAGGUCUCAAGCGUUAUUCGGAUUCAUUGGGCGUAAAGGGUGCGUAGGUGGCGUGGUAAGUCGGGUGUGAAAUUUCGGAGCUUAACUCCGAAACUGCAUUCGAUACUGCUGUGCUUGAGGACUGGAGAGGAGACUGGAAUUUACGGUGUAGCAGUGAAAUGCGUAGAGAUCGUAAGGAAGACCAGUGGCGAAGGCGGGUCUCUGGACAGUUCCUGACGCUGAGGCACGAAGGCCAGGGGAGCAAACGGG